ACAGAAACUUAAGUGAUUUAGAGUGUGACUUUCAUGAACAGAAAUAGUCUCCAUAAUCUAAUCUCCAGAAUGCACUAAACCAGGAGAAGAUCCACCUGGAAUGGAAGAAUAUUAAGGAGAACAAGUCCUCAUCUCUCCAAAGACCCUUCAUCCUUCAUUUCACAAUAGUCUUUAUUGGUCUGCUGGAGUUUGCUGGAGGUCCACUCCAGACCCUGUUUGCCUGGGUAUCACCGGCAGAGGCUGCAGAGCAGCAAAGAUUGCUGCCUGCUCCUUCCUCUGGAAGCUUCAUCCCAAAGGGGCACCCGCCUGAUGCCAGCCAGAGCUCUCCUGUACGAGAGAUGCCCUGCCCAGUGAGGAGGAAUCUAGAGAAGCAGUCUGGCCAUAGCUUUGCUGCACUGCGCACUUCUCCUUGCUGCCGCCAUGUGAAGAAGAAUGUGUUUGCUUCCCCUUCCGCCAUGAUUGUCAUGACAUUUUGAGCACAAUUGUGUGUGGGAUGCAUUCAUCAAUAGAGCUGGAAGCACCAACCACCAUAGGAGUAGAGACAGGGUUUCACCACAUUGGCUAGGCUGGUCUUGAACUCCUGACCUCAAGUGAUCCACCCCCAUCAGCAUCCCAAAGUGCUGGGAUUACAGAGGAAACUUUUAGUUACAAGCACAUGAAUAAAUAAAAUCAAACUCAACUGGAAUGACGUUCCUGAGGAUGGAGAUACAUUUUUUUGUUGACCCAUCUAAACUUGAACAGCAAGUGAUAAUCAGUCUCCAAUCAGAAAGUCCCAGGACUUAUAGGAGCAGAAAUCAGAAGACUUUACUCCACACACUUCAGGUGGACAUGUGGACAAAGCCAUCGGAGAACAUGACAAAAAUACAGCAAGAGCAGAGACAAGAUCAGAUCAUCCUGGGGGCAGAUGCUGGGCUCUGACCAAUUUGAGAGAGAAAAGGAAAAAGAACCCAGCUACAAGAUGCACAAGUAGCAGGCCACAGCCACCAACAUCAGCAGAGCAAUUGGAGGCCAGGAAGACAAGGACACUUCUGAAGAGACUGAAAAAAGCAGAAGACAGUCCAAGUCACUGCAAGGUUCCAAGGUCUCUUUUUUCAUUACUGUUACAAGUACCAAGUAAGCCAAAAUCCACCCUACUCUUCAAAACCAUCUUGAAGAGUUGCAGGUCAGGGUUGCUGCAUCUGAGCAUGUUUACUCACAAAAGGUGACAGAUGCUCCUCAACUUACAAUGAGAUUACAUCCUGAUAAAUGUGUCAUAAGUUGAAAGUAUCUUAUAAGUCGAAAAUGCAUUUACUACAGCCUAACCCACUGAACAUUGUAGCUUAGGCUAGCCUACCUUAAAACGUGAUCAGGACACUUCCCUCAGCCUACAUUUGGGCAAAAUCACCUAACACGAAGCCUAUUUUAUAAUAGAGCAUUGAAUAGCUCAAAUAAUUUAUUGAAUACUGUACAUUACAUAGAAUUUGUGACAGUUUUACACCAUCAUUAUGUCAAAAAAUCAUUAAGUUGAGCCACCAUAACUCAGGGACUGUCUGUAUUUAUAUUUUUACUUCACACUAAGCUUUGAAACUGAAAUUUUUGCUCCUCAGCAGAUGGGGUUUCUGAGAAAGACCAAAUUAGUUAUAGAGCACUAGCUCCCAAAAAAAAAAAAAAAAAAAAACAGAAGAAGUCAGAGGAGGAGGGCAACAUGGAGCAGAGGAAGAAGGAGAGAAAAAGCAAGAAACCAUUAUCGCUCCCUCAUCUGAACUGCACUGCGAGUAAGCUGGGGCUUCCACCACAGUGUCCUGGAAGCCAUGUUUGCUGCCCAUUUCUGGACUCUCCAGCCACACUGGCCUCCUUUCCCUUUCUCAAACCUGCUGUGGUUCCUGCCACUUCAAGAUAAUCUCUUAACAAUCUAUUCCUUCUGCCUGGAAUGCUCUUCCUCCCACCCAACCCCGCUCUGCCCAGCUAACUCCAUUCUUUGGCCCCUGCAUCACUUUCCCAAGGAAGCCAUUUCUGGACUUCCCUGACCCCUGCCUUCCAUCUUCACUGGCCCAGAGUUCCCUACCCUAUGGUCUCAUUGCUCCCUCCCAGGCACUGCUGCCUCCCAGGACUCUUCCCUGUCGGUAAUAUAGUUCUGUUUGAUUGUUCAGUUAAUUUUGCCUCCCCUGAAGACCAUAAGCCAUGUUGGCAAUGAUGGUUUUGCUCACCAUUGCACCUCCAGUGUCUAAAAACCAUGGGCAGGUCAAUUCAUUUUUGUUGAGUAAAGGAAUUGUUCAAUAAGUGCACAAAUAAAUUCACAUUAAAACUUGUCC
rnacentral:lncRNA from 1 species